rnacentral:rRNA from 1 species
GAUGAACGCUGGCGGUGUGCCUAAUACAUGCAAGUCGAGCGCCCCUUUAAGAGGUGACAAUCUUUGAUUGUCGAUUCCUAUGGGGAGCGGCGGACGGCUGAGUAACGCGUGGGAACGUGCCCCAAAGUGAGGGAUAAGCCAUCGAAAGAUGGUCUAAUACCGCAUAUGGUCUUUGGAUUAAAGUAUUUAUACGCUUUGGGAGCGGCCUGCGUACGAUUAGAUAGUUGGUGAGGUAAUGGCUCACCAAGUCGACGAUCGUUAACUGGUCUGAGAGGAUGAUCAGUCAGACUGGAACUGAGACACGGUCCAGACUCCUACGGGAGGCAGCAGUAAGGAAUUUUCCGCAAUGGGCGAAAGCCUGACGGAGCAAUCUCGCGUGAGGGAUGACGGCCUAUGGGUUGUAAACCGUCUUUUUCUAGGGAGGAUAAAUGACGUGUACCUGAAGAAUAAGCAUCGGCUAACUCCGUGCCAGCAGCUGCGGU